rnacentral:lncRNA from 1 species
ACACCCGGGACUUAGGCCGGCCAAGCAGCCAUACUUACCAAACCAGUCCAAAAGAGAAAGAACAUGACUAGCCACGGUGUAUCGGUGCAUUUUCUAUAAAUUUGGGGUCGCCAUUCUCUCUGCCUUGUUUUCUCUGCAGAAACCUUCCAGGAAAAUGGAGAGUUGAGAAAAGCAAGAGAAAUAGUUAGGUGAAAUCAACCGAACCCAAACCUAUCCAAAGGCUGCUUGAGUAACCGGACGCUUUCUCCGGGAGAGAUCUGCUCUCUGCAGGAUGGAUGUACAAUCCCCUCCCCCCCACGGGUGUCAAGUCCUUACUGGAGAAGCGGUGUCACUGAGAAAGUGGCUGAUCUCCCAAGGGACAGAGGAGCCGGAAGCGUCCUGUCUAUGCAGGUAGGUGCCCGCAGAGGCCGCUUCCCUCAGGGCUCAGGUUGUCGCCCUUACCAGGUACUCGGCGCCCAGGCACUGCAUGGUACCCGGCAGCUGGGAUUGGCGGCGGUGGUGGUCGCCGUGCACACGGGACAGAGGUGCGGCGACCGGGCCAAGUGGCCCAGGAGGGGCGGGCAGGGCGAGCAGCGCUCAGCGCCUCCGAGCGGUCCCGGGCGCUGGUCCCCUAGGCCCGCCCUUUCCGUGGUGGCUUUAGGUUGGGCGGACCUGCUGGGAGCUGGGGUGGCACCUGCGCAGCACCGGUUCCCAGGAAGUGCUCCUGACCACGCUGCCCCGCCUGGGCCGGUUGCCAGCGCCUGGAGUUAGAAGUGAGGCCUCGGG